UCCUACGGGGGGCAGCAGUGAGGAAUAUUGGUCAAUGGUCGGGAGACUGAACCAGCCAAGCCGCGUGAGGGAGGAAGGUACAGAGUAUCGUAAACCCCUUUUGUCAGGGAACAAAGGCGGGGACGUGUCCCCGGAUGAGUGUACCUGAAGAAAAAGCAUCGGCUAACUCCGUGCCAGCAGCCGCGGUAAUACGGAGGAUGCGAGCGUUAUCCGGAUUUAUUGGGUUUAAAGGGUGCGCAGGCGGUCUGUUAAGUCAGCGGUCAAAGCCCGGGGCUCAACCCCGGCCCGCCGGUGAAACUGGCAGG
rnacentral:rRNA from 1 species